rnacentral:miRNA from 1 species
UAUGAUUGUCUAGUAUGCAACUGU